rnacentral:lncRNA from 1 species
UGUCAUUUGAAUUAUACAAUCCAUCGUGAUAUGUAACUAUAAGUGAUUUACUAUGCGGCUAUAUAUAUAUAUUAAGAUUUACAUUAUAAAGUGUAAAUAUGGUCAGUUUUGGUUGAUGCUGACACAUAUGGUCAGUUUUGGUUGAUGCUGUCAAAUAUAAAAAAGAAGAUGUGGUAUGAUUGCCAAUGAGACAACUAUCCACAAAAGACCAAAAUGACACAGACAUUAACAACUAUAGGUCAC